UAUUUAUUUAGCACCUCAUAGCCACAGCGUGAAUAAAUGCUUUUUGUUACUGCUUUCAUCCGUGUCACCUCUGUGGCUGAAACGAUGCAGUUGGAGUGCUGAAAAACAGUGAUCGGGCUGAGAAAUGUAAGAUUACGGAGCCUCAGGUGCAGUUUCACCCUUCAGGUCUGCUGAUGCUACUUUACAGCCGUUUUCUCUCUUCCCAUUCCUUGCAGUGUGACCCCAGCCCCGCUCACACAGGGCUGCUCCUCAGGUGGGUUUGAGCGCCGAUACACCGUUCACUGUCCCACCUCACAGGUAACGACUACCAUACCCCACAGAAACGAAAAUAAACAUUCACGCUGCGAACAAGACAUCGAUCUUAUUAGCCCCCACCCACUCCAGGGCAGCCUUUACCCAGCCCAGCAGGCCUCGGCAGCCGGCUGAGGCGCGGCCGCGAGCGGGGCUGAGAGCAAGGGCGCGCGCGGACGGCCCCGCGGCGGGAGCGACGCCUGAGAGGCUGCGGGCGCCGCCAUCUUGUCUCCACAGCCGGCUGCUCCCCCCAGUGCAAGUGAAGCAGCCCCGCCAGCUCCCUCCUCCUUAUCCUCCUCCGACCCUCUCCUCCUCCUCAUCCCUCCCACUCCACUCAGCCGUAGCCGCCGGUCAGAAAGGGGGCAGCGUGGAAACUAAGGCCGCGGGGCGGGGAAGGGAAGGGAGGAGGGGGGGGAACCGGAGAGCCGUGUGUGGGGGGGCGGGCGGGCUGCGGGGUGCCAGCACCCGGGGCUCGUCCCUCCCGCGGGGCUCGUCCCUUUUGGGGGGGCCUUCCCUGCCUGGGGGCUUGUGCCAGCCCGGGGGGUUGUCCCUUUUUUGGGGACUUGUCCCUCCCUGGGGCCGGCAGCCCCUCCGCUCGCCCCCGGUGCCCCCUUGGCGGUGUCAGCUCGGGGGGGGGGCCGGGCUGCGCUCUCGAUGGGAUAAGCUGUAACAUGUUCAGCUUUGAAAGGGGAUUUCAAAACAAGGCCCAAGGUGUCCCUCGGAGGAGCGAGUAGGAAGGAGGAAAAGGCUUCUCUCCUGCAUCGCACUCAGGAAGAAAGGCGAAAACGAGAGG